rnacentral:rRNA from 1 species
AGGACGAACGCUGGCGGCGUGCUUAACACAUGCAAGUGGAGCGACGAACCAUCUUCGGAUGGGGCAAAGCCGCGAACGGGUGAGUAACACGUGGGUAACCUGCCUUGAUGAUUGGGACAACCCCGGGGAAACCGGGGCUAAUACCAAAUGUGCUCCUUCCUUUGAGGGGAAGGUGGAAAGAAGCUUCGGCCUCCGCAUCGAGAUGGGGCCCGCGGCGCAUUAGCUUGUUGGUGGGGUAACGGCCUACCAAGGCGACGAUGCGUAGCUGGUCUGAGAGGACGAUCAGCCACACUGGGACUGAGACACGG